rnacentral:rRNA from 1 species
GAUGAACGCUGGCGGCGUGCCUAAUACAUGCAAGUCGAGCGAACGGACGAGAAGCUUGCUUCUCUGAUGUUAGCGGCGGACGGGUGAGUAACACGUGGAUAACCUACCUAUAAGACUGGGAUAACUUCGGGAAACCGGAGCUAAUACCGGAUGAUAUUUUGAACCGCAUGGGUCAAAAGUGAAAGACGGUCUUGCUGUCACUUAUAGAUGGAUCCGCGCUGCAUGAGCUAGUUGGUAAGGUAACGGCUUACCAAGGCAACGAUGCAUAGCCGACCUGAGAGGGUGAUCGGCCACACUGGAACUGAGACACGGUCCAGACUCCUGCGGGAGGCAGCAGUAGGGAAUCUGCCGCAAUGGGCGAAAGCCUGACGGAGCAACGCCGCGUGAGUGAUGAAGGUCUUCGGAGCGUAAAACUCUGUUAUGAGGGAAGAACAUAUGUGUAAGUAACUGUGCACAUCGUGACGGUACCUAAUCAGAAAGCCACGGCUAACUACGUG